rnacentral:rRNA from 1 species
GACGAACGCUGGCGGCGUGCUUAACACAUGCAAGUCGAACGGAAAGGCCCUGCUUUUGUGGGGUGCUCGAGUGGCGAACGGGUGAGUAACACGUGAGUAACCUGCCCUUGACUUUGGGAUAACUUCAGGAAACUGGGGCUAAUACCGGAUAGGAGCUCCUGCUGCAUGGUGGGGGUUGGAAAGUUUCGGCGGUUGGGGAUGGACUCGCGGCUUAUCAGCUUGUUGGUGGGGUAGUUGCUUACCAAGGCUUUGACGGGUAGCCGGCCUGAGAGGGUGACCGGCCACAUGGGGACUGAGAUACGGCGCAGACUCCAACGGGAGGCAGCAGGGGGGAAUAUUGCACAAUGGGCGGAAGCCUGAUGCAGCAACGCCGCGUGCGGGAUGACGGCCUUCGGGUUGUAAACCGAUGUCGCCUGUGACGAAGCGUGAGUGACGGUAAUGGGUAAAGAAGCACCGGCUAACUACGUG